rnacentral:ncRNA from 15 species
GGUCAUGAGCGCCAGCGUCAAGCCCCGACUUGCUGGCCGGCAACCCUCCAACCGCGUUGGAGUGCCCCGGUGAUGACCAGGUUGAGUAGCCAGAACCGGCUACGCGGCAAGCGCGAGUC